UACGGAGGAUGCGAGCGUUAUCCGGAUUUAUUGGGUUUAAAGGGUGCGUAGGCGGCAUUAUAAGUUAGUGGUAAAAUAUUGGGGCUUCACCUCACUACGCCAUUAAUACUGUAGAGCUAGAGAACAGACGAGGUAGGCGGAAUAAGUUAAGUAGCGGUGAAAUGCAUAGAUAUCACACAGAACACCGAUUGCGAAGGCAUCUCACGAAUCCGCGAUUGACGCUGAUGCACGAAAGCGUGGGUAUCAAACAGG
rnacentral:rRNA from 1 species